GACGAACGCUGGCGGCGUGCUUAACACAUGCAAGUCGAACGGUAAGGCCCUUCGGGGUACACGAGUGGCGAACGGGUGAGUAACACGUGGGUGAUCUGCCCUGCACUUCGGGAUAAGCCUGGGAAACUGGGUCUAAUACCGGAUAGGACUCCUGGCUUCGUGGUUGGGGGUGGAAAGCUUUUGCGGUGUGGGAUGGGCCCGGGGCCUAUCAGCUUGUUGGUGGGGUAAUGGGCUACCAAGGCGACGACGGGUAGCCGGCCUGAGAGGGUGAACGGUGACACUGGGACUGAGGUACGGCCCAGACUCCUACGGGAGGCAGCAGUGGGGAAUAUUGCACAAUGGGCGCAAGCCUGAUGCAGCGACGCCGCGUGAGGGAUGACGGCCUUCGGGUUGUAAACCUCUUUCAGCUAUGACGAAGCGCAAGUGACGGUAGUAGCAGAAGAAGGACCGGCCAACUACGUGCCAGCCGCCGCGGUAACAC
rnacentral:rRNA from 1 species